rnacentral:tRNA from 1 species
GCAUGGUUGGCUCAGUCAGUUGGGCAUCUGACUUCGGCUCAGGUCAUGAUCUCAUAGUUUGUGGGUUCAAGACCCAUGUCAGGCU